UCUCUCGAUUUCUCUCUCCACGUCUCUCUAUUAUUCUCUUUCUUUUCACCACCAGGGAACUUCUUACCUUCCCCCCUUUCCCCCCUUCGCUCCUUCCUUCCCCAUCUACUUACAUACCCACCCACCUUCGUCCCUAUUAUAUUCUCGUAUCUCUUGUCACCAAUCAGAUUCUGUGUUCUGUCGUUAGAAUUAUUCCAAACUGCUACCAACGGAUUUAAUACGACUUUGUUUUUGUCAAGAUAAUCAGUGAUAAUACGGAAAAACUUCAAUAACCAUUUCAAGACAGAGUAACCGUACAUUGAUAAUGUCAUUAUUUUGUUACUUUAUCUACUUUAAAUUAAUUUUCAAGUUAAUAGUUUUAACUCUUGAAGUAUAUUAAUUAAUUUUGAAUAUGUCAUUUUACUAAAAAAAUUGUGAAAUAUUCACAUUUAAUUUUUUUUUGUUUUUAUUAAACGGUACAAUAUACAUA